rnacentral:rRNA from 1 species
GACGAACGCUGGCGGCGUGCUUAACACAUGCAAGUCGUACGGUAAGGCCCUUUCGGGGGUACACGAGUGGCGAACGGGGGAGUAACACGUGAGUAACCUGCCCACAACUUUGGGAUAACGCUAGGAAACUGGGGCUAAUACUGGAUAUGUGCUCCUGCGGCAGGGUGGGGGUGGGAAAGCUCCGGCGGUUGUGGAUGGACUCGCGGCCUAUCAGCUUGUUGGUGGGGUAGUGGCCUACCAAGGCGGCGACGGGUAGCCGGCCUGAGAGGGUGACCGGCCACAUUGGGACUGAGAUACGGCCCAGACUCCUACGGGAGGCAGCAGUGGGGAAUAUUGCACAAUGGGCGCAAGCCUGAUGCAGCAACGCCGCGUGCGGGAUGACGGCCUUCGGGUUGUAAACCGCUUUCAGCAGGGACGAAGCUUUUUGUGACGGUACCUGCAGAAGAAGCACCGGCUAACUACGUG